UGACAAUCCAGGUUCUAAUUCUGAUGGUUUAAUCCAACUGGAAGAGAAUCUUUGGCCUGUCAAUGACAAAAUGGUUUAUAAAGAAGAAAAAAUAAAUACCAUAUACAAGUUAUCAUUAUAUUUUUCAUCUUUGAUCUCCCGCUCUUCCUUCCGGAUCCUCACAGCAUGGUAUCGGGGAACGCUGUCAUCGUACCUAGAGCGUUUAAAGAAUCCGCACUGACGAAGGGGAAAGAGAAACAGAAACAAACUAAGUAUCUCAAGAAAAGCAAAUGCACAAAAUGGGAAUGUCUAAGCUUUCUGUUCAGCUACGCCUACCUUUGGAUGAAGGGGAAAAAAUAAACAUGGUUUCUUUUAAGAAGGAACUAGUAGGUCCAAAAGACAUACCAGCAGUGGGGAUAAACAGAAGACAGCUGUAACAUUGGAAGAAAAGUCCGUUUUUCCAUUGUGUCUCUACUAACAAGAGUUAUGGAAAAAUGCUUCCAUUUUUUACAAUCACGAUAUUAGAUGUUAAAGAUCUAAUUUUCAGGUUAAAAAGAUUGGUCUUUAAAAAUGAUAUUCUAAUAAAGGCCAUAAACCAAAGAUUAUUCAUACCCCAUUCCCACUAACAAAAUGGAAUCAGAUCACAAAUAUUUUACAAAUUACUAUUUAAAUAUGCCAGUGUUCAAAUGAGCCAAUUUAAGAAUCUUCUCUCCUCCAAGGCUCAGCACAUAUCUCUCAUUAGCUACCAGGCAAUUUACACUGCCUGCAUUUCCUGUUGUGCUUAUAAAUUAAGCUGUUUCAUUAAUAAAUCAUGUAGUAACUGUGUCCUGUAAUAAAAUCAAUUGUGUACCACAAAGACAGUAGCACUACAUUGAAUUUCCGAGCACCCCUGAUUUUUUUGGCAAAGGAAAUUUAACACUUAAAUUAUUAAUGAAUAUAUAUUUUAUUCAUUUUUUAAAAAAUCUAAUCGAAAGUAGAUUUUUAUUGAGAACAUAUUAGGAAGUUUUUUACUCAAACUGAAUUUUUAAAAUGAAUAAAAUGUACAUUUAAUGAAA